rnacentral:rRNA from 1 species
AGCGUACGCUGGCGGCAGGCCUAAAACAUGCAAGUCGAACGCCGUAGCAAUACGGAGUGGCAGACGGGUGAGUAACACGUGGGAACGUGCCCUUUGGUUCGGAACAACACAGGGAAACUUGUGCUAAUACCGAAUAAGCCCUUACGGGGAAAGAUUUAUCGCCAAAGGAUCGGCCCGCGUCUGAUUAGCUAGUUGGUGGGGUAACGGCCCACCAAGGCGACGAUCAGUAGCUGGUCUGAGAGGAUGAUCAGCCACACUGGGACUGAGACACGGCCCAGACUCCUACGGGAGGCAGCAGUUAGGAAUCUUGGACAAUGGGCGCAAGCCUGAUCCAGCCAUGCCGCGUGAGUGAUGAAGGCCUUAGGGUUGUAAAGCUCUUUCAGCGGGGAAGAUAAUGACGGUACCCGCAGAAGAAGCCCCGGCUAACUUCGUGCCAGCCGCCGCCGUAA